UGGGGCAAAAUAUCUCAGUGCAAAUCUGAGGUCAAUUUGUCAAGAAAAAAAUUGAAAAAUCCUUAACACAAUAAUUUAUACACACACACUAUCAAGUGUUGAAAUUAUUCUUUGAAGAAAAGUGUAACUGCAUGAUAUUGGCAAGAAUUUCUUCAGCAGACUCAGAUAAGGAAUCAAGAUUGUCUGUGAAUUUAGACAGCAAAAAUAUCAGAUAAUCCAACACUCUAAUGGUCUCAUAUUCUACUA
rnacentral:lncRNA from 1 species